CACGUAGUUAGCCGUGGCUUUCUGGUUAGGUACCGUCAAGGUACGAGCAGUUACUCUCGUACUUGUUCUUCCCUAACAACAGAGCUUUACGACCCGAAGGCCUUCUUCGCUCACGCGGCGUUGCUCCGUCAGACUUUCGUCCAUUGCGGAAGAUUCCCUA
rnacentral:rRNA from 1 species